rnacentral:rRNA from 1 species
CACGUAGGGCGCGAGCGUUGUUCGGAAUUAUUGGGCGUAAAGAGCUCGUAGGCGGCCUGUUGCGUCCGCUGUGAAAGCCCGGGGCUUAACCCCGGGUCGGCAGUGGAUACGGGCAGGCUAGAGGUAGGUAGGGGAGAAUGGAAUUCCCGGUGUAGCGGUGAAAUGCGCAGAUAUCGGGAGGAACACCAGUGGCGAAGGCGGCUAUCUGGGCUGCAACUGACGCUGAGGCGCGAAGGCUAGGGUAGCAAACAGG